ACAUAGAGUAGUCCAAAUCACAUAGUCAUACACACAUAAAGGAGUUAUAUCACAUAGACUAGUCCAAAUCACAUAGUCAUACACACAUAAAGGAGUUAUAGUCCAAAUAUCAUUCUCCAUUUCUCCUUUUGCUUCUCUUCCUCCUCCUCUUGCUUCUUCUUCUCUCGUGCGGCUGCCUCCUCCUCUCUCACCUUCUUGGUAGCCUUCUCCC
rnacentral:lncRNA from 1 species